AUUGAACGCUGGCGGAAUGCUUUACACAUGCAAGUCGAGCGGCAGCGCGGCCUUCGGGCUGGCGGCGAGCGGCGAACGGGUGAGUAAUGCAUCGGAACAUGCCCAGUCGUGGGGGAUAACACUUCGAAAGAAGUGCUAAUACCGCAUACGUCCUGAGGGGGAAAGCGGGGGAUCGCAAGACCUCGCGCGAUUGGAGUGGCCGAUGUCAGAUUAGCUAGUUGGUGGGGUAAAGGCCUACCAAGGCGACGAUCUGUAGCUGGUCUGAGAGGAUGAUCAGCCACACUGGGGCUGAGACACGGCCCAGACUCCUACGGGAGGCAGCAGUGGGGAAUUUUGGACAAUGGGGGCAACCCUGAUCCAGCCAUUCCGCGUGAGUGAAGAAGGCCUUCGGGUUGUAAAGCUCUUUCGGCAGGAACGAAACGGUGGGCUCUAACAUAGUCCGCUAAUGACGGUACCUGAAGAAGAAGCACCGGCUAACUACGUG
rnacentral:rRNA from 1 species